AGAUUGAACGCUGGCGGCAGGCCUAACACAUGCAAGUCGAGCGGUAGAGAGAAGCUUGCUUCUCUUGAGAGCGGCGGACGGGUGAGUAAUGCCUAGGAAUCUGCCUAGUAGUGGGGGAUAACGUUCGGAAACGGACGCUAAUACCGCAUACGUCCUACGGGAGAAAGCGGGGGGAGUCUUCGGACCUCGCGCCAUUAGAUGAGCCUAGGUCGGAUUAGCUAGUUGGUGAGGUAAUGGCUCACCAAGGCGACGAUCCGUAACUGGUCUGAGAGGAUGAUCAGUCACACUGGAACUGAGACACGGUCCAGACUCCUACGGGAGGCAGCAGUGGGGAAUAUUGGACAAUGGGCGAAAGCCUGAUCCAGCCAUGCCGCGUGUGUGAAGAAGGUCUUCGGAUUGUAAAGCACUUUAAGUUGGGAGGAAGGGUAGUAACCUAAUACGUUGCUACUUUGACGUUACCGACAGAAUAAGCACCGGCUAACUUCGUG
rnacentral:rRNA from 1 species